rnacentral:sRNA from 1 species
GCCAGAAGAAGCUUGGUUAGUGUUUUGGAGUCAAAUAUGACUAGAUGUCAUGUGUAUGAUUAAGUAUAAGAACUUAAACCACAACUA